rnacentral:misc_RNA from 1 species
AAAGUCGUAACAAGGUUUCCGUAGGUGAACCUGCGGAAGGAUCAUUGACAAAAUCUAAUAACAACAACCCUGUUGAAAUGGAUCUCAGCAGUAGUUGAUGUUGGUUGGUUGGUUGGUUGGUUGGUUGGUUGUGGAUGGUGUGUUGUUCUUACAACCAACAACUACUACUACUACUACUACUACUACUACUACUACAACUACUACUAGCUGGGCAACCCUUUCUUUUCAUUAGCAAUAGUGAAAAGAAAGGCUUUAAUUUUAAUGACUAUUGUGUGAUAUCUAUGCCUAAAGAUGAAACAUCUUAAAUGUUUAAACAACUUUUAACAAUGGAUCUCUUGGCUCUU